CCUACGGGAGGCAGCAGUGGGGAAUAUUGGACAAUGGGCGAAAGCCUGAUCCAGCAAUGCCGCGUGAGUGAUGAAGGCCUUAGGGUUGUAAAGCUCUUUUACCAGGGAUGAUAAUGACAGUACCUGGAGAAUAAGCUCCGGCUAACUCCGUGCCAGCAGCCGCGGUAAUACGGAGGGAGCUAGCGUUGUUCGGAAUUACUGGGCGUAAAGCGUACGUAGGCGGUUAUUCAAGUCAGAGGUGAAAGCCUGGAGCUCAACUCCAGAACUGCCUUUGAAACUAGAUAGCUAGAAUCUUGGAGAGGUGAGUGGAAUUCCGAGUGUAGAGGUGAAAUUCGUAGAUAUUCGGAAGAACACCAGUGGCGAAGGCGACUCACUGGACAAGUAUUGACGCUGAGGUACGAGAGCGUGGGGAGCAAACAGGAUUAGAUACCCUGGUAGUCCACGCCGUAAACGAUGAUAACUAGCUGUUCGGGCUCUACGAGCUUGAGUGGCGCAGCUAACGCAUUAAGUUAUCCGCCUGGGGAGUACGGUCGCAAGAUUAAAACUCAAAGGAAUUGACGG
rnacentral:rRNA from 1 species